UAUGUGAUCGUCUCUCGCAUAUCAAUAAGCGGAGGAAAAGGGGGCUAUUACCUACGCUUAGGAUGUUGACGAGACUGUCGAUCUCAUCUAUACAUGACUCUGUGCAUAUCAAUAAGCGGAGGAAAAGAAACUAACAAGGAUUCCCCUAGUAACGGCGAGUGAAGCGGGAAGAGCUCAAAUUUGAAAUCUUAAAGGGUUUCCCUUUACGAAUUGUAGUUUAAAGAAGUGUUUUCUGUUGAGGUUUUGGUAAAAGUUCUUUGGAAUAGGACAUCAUAGAGGGUGAGAAUCCCGUAUUUGACCUUUACUUUCAACUUUGUGAUACACUUUCAAAGAGUCGGAUUGUUUGGGAAUGCAGUCCAAAAUGGGUGGUAAAUUUCAUCUAAAGCUAAAUAUUGGCGAGAGACCGAUAGCGAACAAGUACCGUGAGGGAAAGAUGAAAAGAACUUUGAAAAGAGAGUUAAACAGUACGUGAAAUUGUCAAAAGGGAAGCGUUUGACACCAGUGUUGUUUUUCUGAAAAUCAAUUAAAGAACUGUUUAUGCUAAGUUGUUUAGACUUUAUCAGCUAACUGUUUAGUUUUGAGCUUUUCUUUAAUGCACUUUUCAGUUAACAAGUCAACAUCAAUUUCUUUUGCUGUAAAAAAGCUUGAGGAAGGUGGCUUGAGAUUCGUCUUAAGUGUUUAUAGCCUCUUGCCUAUGCAGUCGGAGAGAUUGAGGUCUGCAGCGUAGAUCCUUCGGGGCUAAAUGCAUUUGUGCUAAGUUAUAGCAUUUUAUAGACAACUUGUUGACUAUGAUUUGUCUUGUAGCUUACUCGCUUAUGUUAUUUUACCUACGCUUAGGAUGUUGACGAGACUGUCGAUCUC
rnacentral:rRNA from 1 species